rnacentral:rRNA from 1 species
UGCCAGCAGCCGCGGUAAUACGGAAGGUCCAGGCGUUAUCCGGAUUUAUUGGGUUUAAAGGGAGCGUAGGCUGGAGAUUAAGUGUGUUGUGAAAUGUAGACGCUCAACGUCUGAAUUGCAGCGCAUACUGGUUUCCUUGAGUACGCACAACGUUGGCGGAAUUCGUCGUGUAGCGGUGAAAUGCUUAGAUAUCACGAAGAACUCCGAUUGCGAAGG